rnacentral:misc_RNA from 1 species
GAUGAAGAACGCAGCGAAAUGCGAUACGUAAUGUGAAUUGCAGAAUUCAGUGAAUCAUCGAGUCUUUGAACGCACAUUGCGCCCCCUGGUAUUCCGGGGGGCAUGCCUGUCCGAGCGUCAUUGCUGCCCUCUAGCACGGCUUGUGUGUUGGGCCUCCGUCCUCCUCCCGGGGGACGGGCCCGAAAGGCAGCGGCGGCACCGCGUCCGGUCCUCGAGCGUAUGGGGCUUCGUCACCCGCUCUUGUAGGCCCGGCCGGCGCUUGCCGACACAUCAAUCUUUUUUCCAGGUUGACCUCGGAUCAGGUAGGGAUACCCGCUGAACUUAAGCAUAUCAAUAAGCGGAGGA